UGUAGGAGUGAGCCUGCUCGCGAUAGCGGUAUGCCAGGCAACAUAUUGUCGAUUGGUCUACCGCUAUCGCGAGCAGGCUCACUCCUACA
rnacentral:misc_RNA from 1 species